GGGUUGUGAGGUUAAGCGACUAAGCGUACACGGUGGAUGCCCUGGCAGUCAGAGGCGAUGAAGGGCGUGCUAAUCUGCGAUAAGCGCCGGUAAGGUGAUAUGAACCGUUAUAACCGGCGAUACCCGAAUGGGGAAACCCAGUGUGAUUCGUCACACUAUCAUUAACUGAAUCCAUAGGUUAAUGAGGCGAACCGGGGGAACUGAAACAUCUAAGUACCCCGAGGAAAAGAAAUCAACCGAGAUUCCCCCAGUAGCGGCGAGCGAACGGGGAGGAGCCCAGAGCCUGAAUCAGCAUGUGUGUUAGUGGAAGCGUCUGGAAAGGCGCGCGAUACAGGGUGACAGCCCCGUACACAAAAGCGCAUAUGCUGUGAGCUCGAUGAGUAGGGCGGGACACGUGGUAUCCUGUCUGAAUAUGGGGGGACCAUCCUCCAAGGCUAAAUACUCCUGACUGACCGAUAGUGAACCAGUACCGUGAGGGAAAGGCGAAAAGAACCCCGGCGAGGGGAGUGAAAAAGAACCUGAAACCGUGUACGUACAAGCAGUGGGAGCCCCACCACUAAGCCAGUGGUGAACUCCACAUACGCAUCCUUUGCUGAGGAGACGGUUAACGGAGCGAAAGCGACGUUCAACCUCAAAAGAAGCAGAGGGGGCUUAGUGGUGGGGUGACUGCGUACCUUUUGUAUAAUGGGUCAGCGACUUAUAUUCUGUAGCAAGGUUAACUGUAUAGGGGAGCCGGAGGGAAACCGAGUCUUAACCGGGCGUUAAGUUGCAGGGUAUAGACCCGAAACCCGGUGAUCUAGCCAUGGGCAGGUUGAAGGUUGGGUAACACUAACUGGAGGACCGAACCGACUAAUGUUGAAAAAUUAGCGGAUGACCUGUGGCUGGGGGUGAAAGGCCAAUCAAACCGGGAGAUAGCUGGUUCUCCCCGAAAGCUAUUUAGGUAGCGCCUCGUGAAUUCAUCUCCGGGGGUAGAGCACUGUUUCGGCUAGGGGGCCAUCCCGGCUUACCAACCCGAUGCAAACUGCGAAUACCGGAGAAUGUUAUCACGGGAGACACACGGCGGGUGCUAAUGUCCGUCGUGAAGAGGGAAACAACCCAGACCGCCAGCUAAGGUCCCAAAGUCAUGGUUAAGUGGGAAACGAUGUGGGAAGGCCCAGACAGCCAGGAUGUUGGCUUAGAAGCAGCCAUCAUUUAAAGAAAGCGUAAUAGCUCACUGGUCGAGUCGGCCUGCGCGGAAGAUGUAACGGGGCUAAACCAUGCACCGAAGCUGCGGCAGCGACACCGUGUGUUGUUGGGUAGGGGAGCGUUCUGUAAGCCUGUGAAGGUGUGCUGUGAGGCAUGCUGGAGGUAUCAGAAGUGCGAAUGCUGACAUAA
rnacentral:rRNA from 1 species